rnacentral:rRNA from 1 species
UACGUAGGGUGCGAGCGUUAAUCGGAAUUACUGGGCGUAAAGCGUGCGCAGGCGGUUUUGCAAGCCGGAUGUGAAAUCCCCGGGCUUAACCUGGGAAUGGCAUUUGGGACUGCAAGGCUGGAGUGCGGCAGAGGAGACUGGAAUUCCUGGUGUAGCAGUGAAAUGCGUAGAUAUCAGGAGGAACACCGGUGGCGAAGGCGGGUCUCUGGGCCGAUAUUGACGCUGAGGAGCGAAAGCGUGGGGAGCGAACAGG